AUCCUUGUGUAGUAUAUAAGCAUGAUGAUUGGGUGUUUAUGCUGUUGUAUGAGAUACAUCUCCUUCAAACUUUGUUAUACCAUCGGCACAUUACCCGUCUGAUG
ensembl:snoRNA